GGGCCGGGGCCGCGGCUGACGGGUUCCGGUGUCGGGCGCAGACGUGUCGGCCGGGGCCGCGGAGCGGGAGGCGCUGCCCCUGACGGCUCGGAACAGCGUCCGGCUCGGGGCCGGCCCGGCGGCGCCAUGUCCGGGACCAGCAGCCCUGAAGCCGUGAAGAAGCUGCUGGAAAACAUGCAGGGAGACCUGCGGGGCCUGAGCCUGGAGUGCCGGAAAAAAUUCCCCCCCGUCAAGGAGGCUGCUGAAUCAGGAAUAAUAAAAGUGAAAACAAUAGCUGCACGGAACACUGAUAUUUUGGCAGCACUGAAAGAGAACAGCUCAGAGGUAGUUCAGCCUUUUCUAAUGGGCUGUGGAACAAAGGAACCAAAGAUCACUCAGCUGUGUCUAGCAGCCAUACAGAGGCUCAUGUCCCAUGAAGUUGUUUCAGAGGCUGCAGCAGGAAACAUUAUUAAUAUGCUUUGGCAACUGAUGGAAAAUAGCCUUGAAGAACUUAAAUUGCUCCAGACAGUUCUUGUACUUUUAACAACCAACACAGUUGUGCAUGAUGAAGCACUGUCCAAGGCAAUUGUACUUUGUUUUCGAUUGCACUUCACAAAAGAUAAUAUCACAAAUAACACUGCGGCAGCUACAGUGCGGCAGGUAGUCACUGUUGUAUUUGAGAGAGUGGUUGCUGAAGAUGCACGAUACAAAGAUACUAUUGACCAGCCAGUUGCAGUUCAAGGAAAUAGUAACAGAAGAUCUGUCAGUACACUGAAGCCAUGUGCUAAGGAUGCAUAUAUGCUUUUUCAGGAUCUUUGUCAGUUAGUUAAUGCUGAUGCUCCCUACUGGCUUGUGGGUAUGACAGAAAUGACCCGGACAUUUGGCCUUGAACUUCUUGAGUCAGUCCUCAAUGACUUUCCGCAAGUCUUUUUACAACAUCAGGAAUUCAGUUUUCUUCUUAAAGAAAGGGUAUGCCCACUUGUUAUAAAGCUCUUCUCCCCAAAUAUCAAAUUCAGGCAAGGUUCGAGCACAUCAUCUUCCCCAGCACCAGUGGAAAAACCAUACUUCCCCAUCUGUAUGCGUUUGCUGAGGGUUGUUUCUGUUUUGAUUAAGCAGUUCUACAGUUUGCUGGUAACAGAAUGUGAAAUCUUCCUGUCGUUGCUGGUUAAGUUUCUGGAUGCAGACAAACCACAGUGGCUAAGAGCUGUUGCAGUAGAAUCUAUUCAUAGGCUUUGUGUGCAGCCUCAGCUAUUAAGGUCCUUUUGUCAAUCGUAUGAUAUGAAGCAACAUUCCACUAAAGUUUUCCGUGAUAUUGUGAAUGCACUGGGCUCCUUCAUCCAGUCAUUAUUUCUUGUACCAAGCACAGGGAACACAUCGAUGACACCAAACCAAACUGGAGGCAAUGCAUCUGGGAAUACUGGCUCAGCACAAACUAACCCAGGAGUGCUUGGAAUGGGAGGAGGUGCAAGUGUAUUACCUGCCUUUGAGUACAGAGGCACUUGGAUACCCAUCCUGAAUGUAACAGUACAAGGCAGUGCUAAAGCUACCUAUUUGGAAAUGCUGGACAAAGUAGAGCCACCUACGAUUCCUGAAGGCUAUGCCAUGUCAGUGGCAUUUCACUGUUUACUGGAUCUUGUCCGUGGUAUCACUACCAUGAUUGAAGGAGAGCUGGGAGAGGCAGAAACAGUCGGUCAAACCACAACAGAGACAUCUUCAUUACCGGUGCAGUCUUCAGAGCAGCAAGUCUUGCAGUCUGUAUCUGACCAAUCAGAGAAAGAACUAGUUAGCAGAGCUGUCUGGGAAGAAAUGGUAAAUGCUUGUUGGUGUGGUCUUCUGGCUGCUUUAUCCCUCCUACUUGAUGCCAGCACUGAUGAAGCUGCCACUGAAAAUAUUCUAAAAGCAGAAUUGACUAUGGCUGCACUUUGUGGAAGACUGGGUCUUGUAACAUCAAGAGAUGCCUUUAUCACUGCCAUUUGCAAAGGAUCCUUGCCUCCUCACUAUGCCCUUACUGUAUUAAACAGCACAACUGCAGCUUUGUCUAGCAAAUCAUAUUCCAUUCAGGGACAGAAUGUUCAGAUGAUUAGUCCCUCAAGCGAAUCUCAUCAGCAGGUUGUAGCAGUAGGGCAGCCCUUAGCUCUUCAGCCACAAGGAACAGUAAUGCUGACUUCAAAAAAUAUACAGUGUAUGAGGACACUACUCAACUUAGCUCACUGCCAUGGAGCCGUUCUUGGUACGUCGUGGCAACUUGUCCUGGCUACUCUUCAGCAUCUUGUGUGGAUUCUGGGACUGAAGCCUGGUGUUGGGGGUGCGUUAAAACCUGGAAGAGCUGUAGAAGGGCCCAGCACAGUUCUGACUACAGCAGUUAUGACUGAUCUCCCAGUUAUAUCCAACAUACUUUCAAGGCUUUUUGAAAGCUCACAGUACCUUGAUGAUGUGUCUUUACAUCACUUAAUAAACGCUCUUUGCUCCUUGUCUCUGGAAGCCAUGGAUAUGGCCUAUGGAAACAAUAAGGAACCAUCGCUUUUUGCUGUUGCUAAAUUACUGGAAACAGGACUAGUCAACAUGCACAGGAUAGAGAUUCUUUGGAGACCUCUGACCGGUCAUCUUCUGGAGGUCUGUCAGCAUCCAAACUCGAGAAUGAGAGAAUGGGGAGCAGAAGCUUUAACUUCUCUCAUUAAAGCAGGACUGACAUUCAGCCAUGAUCCUCCAUUAUCUCAAAAUCAGAGACUGCAGUUGCUUUUAUUGAAUCCACUAAAGGAACUGUCAAACAUCAGUCAUCCUGAUAUCAGGAUCAAGCAGCUGGAGUGUGUGCUACAGAUUUUGCAAAGUCAGGGUGACAGCUUAGGACCUGGUUGGCCAUUGGUGCUUGGAGUUAUGGGGGCAAUCCGAAGUGAUCAGGGAGAGUCCUUAAUACGGACUGCAUUCCAGUGUCUUCAGUUGGUUGUGACAGACUUUCUUCCAACAAUGCCAUGUACUUGUCUACAGAUAGUUGUUGAAGUUGCAGGAAGCUUUGGACUUCACAAUCAAGAGCUAAAUAUUAGCUUAACUUCAAUUGGUUUGUUGUGGAAUAUUUCAGAUUAUUUUUUCCAAAGAGGUGAAAUAAUUGAAAAGGAGCUAAACAAAGAAGAAGCAGUGUUGCAGAAACAGGCAGAAGAAAAGGGAGUGAUGCUGAAUAGACCUUUUCAUCCUGCAUCACCGUUUGACUGUCUUUGGUUAUGCCUGUAUGCCAAACUUGGAGAGCUGUGUGUGGAUCCCCGACCUGCAGUUAGAAAAAGCGCUGGGCAGACAUUGUUUUCUACUAUUGGUGCUCAUGGAACUUUGUUGCAACAUUCAACAUGGCACACAGUAAUAUGGAAGGUUUUAUUUCACCUGUUGGAUAGGGUUCGAGAAUCUUCCACCACAGCUGACAAAGAGAAGAUUGAAUCAGGAGGAGGCAACAUUCUCAUCCAUCAUUCAAGGGAUACAGCUGAGAAACAGUGGGCUGAGACAUGGGUAUUAACACUGGCUGGAGUUGCAAGAAUAUUUAACACCAGGAGAUACUUACUGCAGCCUUUAGGAGACUUUUCCCAAGCCUGGGAUGUUCUUCUGGAUCACAUCCAAUCAGCAGCACUCAGCAAAAAUAACGAAGUUUCCUUGGCUGCUCUGAAAAGCUUCCAGGAGAUCUUACAAAUUGUUUCUCCUGUCCGAGACUCAGAGAAACCUGAUACACCACCGGCUAUCAACGUUUCUGUACCUGUGGUGGUAGGGACAACAACUGCCACUAGUAUUGGCAGAUCAUUCAUGAGAACUGAUUCCAUAGGAGAAAGAAUAGGAAGAUACAAUGGUUCUGAACCACCUGUAAUAACAGAUGAGAUUGAAGAUUUGAAUCUUUGGUGGGCAGCCUGGAACAGCUGGUAUAGGAUUGGUUCAGAAAGUACAAGGCCUCCAAUUACUUGUGAUAAAUUGACUUUCAUUCCCAGCCAGCCUUUUCUUACAGCUUUAAUUCAGAUAUUCCCAGCUCUUUACCAGCACAUCAAAACUGGUUUCAGCAUGGAUGAUCUGCAGAAGCUGGGUGUCAUUUUGCACGGUGCUGUUUCGGUUCCAAUCAGUUCUGAUGCUUCCCCUUUCAUCCUUCCAUCUUACACUGAGGCAGUUUUGACAAGUUUACAGGAAGCAGUGCUUACAGCUUUAGAUGUUUUACAAAAGGCUAUAUGUGUGGGCUCAGAAAGUAUGCAGAUAAUGUAUCCUGCAAUCUUUGACCAGCUGUUGGCCUUUGUAGAAUUUUCCUGCAAGCCUCCACAGUAUGGACAGUUGGAAACAAAGCAUGUUGCGAAUGCAAAGUAUAAUCAGAUACAACUAUUUGCACCGGCGGAAUGGGUAGCAUUGAAUUAUGUACCGUUUGCUGAGAGAUCACUGGAAGUUGUUGUGGACUUAUACCAAAAGACAGCUUGCCAUAAAGCUGUGGUAACGGAGAAGGUUCUUCAGAACAUUAUUAAGACACUAAGAAUACCUCUUAGUCUGAAAUAUUCCUGUCCUUCUGAAAGCACAUGGAAGCUAGCUGUUUCCUCUCUUCUCAAAGUUCUCUCUAUCGGACUACCUGUUGCGAGGCAGCAUGCAUCUUCUGGAAAAUUUGACAGUAUGUGGCCAGAGCUGGCAAAUACUUUUGAAGACUUUUUAUUCACCAAAAGGUACAGAAGAACCUGACUGUUUUCUAAUGUUAAUAUGUUCUGUAUUUGUGUGUGCAUAGUUUGCAAACACACAAAAAUUAGCAACCAAGCACAGCUGUAUUUACUAAUGAUGAAUAAAUAGCAGCUUGCCCCAAACAGAUAAAAAUAAAUACUAAUAAAACUUAAUUUUAGAGACAAAUUCAUUAGUGAAAAUAUUUGUACUAAUGAAUGGUUUUGGAAUGUCAUCAAUAGGGUUACAUGACAAUUUAAUUAAAAACUUUUCUUUUGUUUUUCCAUUUACUUCGUAGAAAUAUUAUUGAAUAGUAGGAGUACCUUAAGAUAAAAGAGCUCAUCGAGACUACAUAAAAGACACUUUAAUCAUGCAAGUUUUUGUUCUCAUGCUUCACUGUUUCUUGAAUUUAAAAUAAUCUUUCCAAUAUCUGGUUUGGCUUUAUUUUUCAGCUACAGUUAGUAGUCCUGCUUCCAUUCUGAGACAGGCAGUCCAGAUUAAUUAACACCCUAUAAUCAAUAUAACUGUUGGGAAUACAAAAUUAAAAUGACGGUUUUUGAGGUUGUUGUAGAAGAUUUUAUGUUCAUUUAGAAGUUAUUUUGGGAAUAUGAACUACUAUUUGCUGUAAAUGAAUUAUUCCUACAUAUCUGCAAAGCAGAUGAAACAUAGUCAUUUUGCAUGUUUUUAGCUGAUUCAGACUGGCACUGCUACAGUUUUUGAAUAUUAAUCAUUCAUAAAUCCAGGGAAGUAAAAUUACCACAGAUCUUCAAUGUAAUUCAAGAUAAUCCACCUUUAUCUGCAUGACCUUUUUGGCCAAAUAUGUUGUCUGUUUUUCUUAAUUUACAGCAAGUGAUUUAUACUUUUCUUGAAAGUUAUUCCAACCAUAGAAAUUCCAUCUUAACGUGUUGCCUGCUAGAAACAAUCACUGUUGGCAUUAAUUCUAAUAGCUUUUGCCAGCUGUCAUACAUGGGUGAAUAUUCUCUGGAGGUAAAGGAAAAAUAGUACUUCUGUGAAUAUUUAUGAUGCCCUACAACUUGUCUAUCUUCGCUUAAAUGUUUUCUCAGCUUUAGAGACCAGAGUGUAUUCUAUGAUUUUACGUACAAAAAUGUGUUUUAGGGAUCAGCAUUUUCAUCAAAAUUAAAAAUGUUCUCAGAAAAGUUAUAUGAAACUUUUCUGUUCUCUUAUGUAGAAACUUUAAGGUUCAAAAGAAUUUAAAAUAUUAAAAAUAGGCCAGAGGUUUAUAGAACCUAUGGCUGUAGCAGGAUAAUCUGGCCUGUGAUUAUAAUUAAUGGCCAUUAUCAUUACUGUUUUCCGGGCUUGUUAUGAGUAGGUGAUUUUUGCUGAUGUAGUUGUGUGUUUAUAUGGCUAUUGAAUGUCUGGUUUGGGGUGUGGGGGAGGUUUUUUGCCCCUUUAGUGUCCAUCUUUUUCUAAAUAGCAGUUUGUCUUCCCAAGUGCAUGGUUCUCCUACUUACAGUUAGAGCCCCGACCCUGUAGCUUUAGGACAGAUAACCCUCCAUCAGCCUGAGCCUUGUGGUCCUAAAAAAAGUUAAAGCUGAGAGGGGAGUACAUCUGCCUCAUGCCAGUAAUAGCAGUCAUUUCUCCUUUUCUUCAUCCUCUUCCUCCUCCUCCUCCCCACAAUGCUCCUGAAGUGUGCCUCUCUCUCUGUGAUGCAAGGAGGGCUCUAGAGAUAGCUGUGGAAGUUCCCCACACUGAGGUAAUUUUCUUCUGAUUUCCUUCAGUUAAGUCCUCCUGCACUUCUGUGCAAGAUGCUGUGAAACUAGCCAUGGCAAAUAGGGCAACCUGUCCCUUUUGUGCUGAAAUUAAAUUGUGUGUUUUAGUGGAUUGUAAUUGCAGUAUAGUCAGUCUCUUACAUUUGUAGUUGUUCCAUUUCUAAGUAAAUUGAAUUCAGAAUUUUCAAAUUUACUGUAUUGUCUUUUCUAUUAGAACUGUAACAAAGAAAAAUAUAUGUUAAUCAUAGUGGUGUCUUAUUCCAGAAUAAUUUGGGAGAAUCUAUUCACUGUUUUGAAAAUAAUAGCUAAAAUUUAUUGCUGAGUUGAGGUGCAUGUCAGCCUUCAGAUUAUAGGUGAAGGCAAUGGGAAUGCACUUUCCAACUGUCCAUGUUGGUCCUUUAUUUUAGGCCAUGUGAUGUAAGAACUGUUUUCUGGUGUGUUCCUUGAUUUUUUUAUAUUAACAACGACUUGUGUUUUUUAAAACUUUUGGUAGUACUUGGUUUUUUUGUCUGUAUCACCAAAAUCAAUUGACCAAGCUACAGAUGAGAAGAUGAGAGCACUCUGUGCUCUUAGAUUAGUGACUUGUACACUUUACUUGGUUUUCGUGACCCUGCUGACCAUAACUGCAGUUUACUGCAACUGUGAGUCAGUCACCCCUGGUGGCUUUCCAACUUGCAAAUAUGCCACGCAGGACAGGGGGUUUAUUAAGUCAUGUGCAGAAGUGUACUAAUCUGGCUGCACUGCUGAAGACCAGCACGGAUUGAAAAGGUUCUGGCGCGCAAAGAAUUUGGAAAAUACAAUUCAGAGACACCCCAAGAGGCUCUCUGUGAGACAGAAUAAAAGCAUUACUGCAUUAUCUAGAUUUUUACCAUUAUCCAACGUAUCACCCCUUAUGACAGGAAUAGUUAGAUAUAUCCAGUUAAAUCUGAAUACAGUUAGAGCUGAAAAUUGACUUUAUGCCAGCGUUCUGUAAUUUUUCCUCAGCUCUCUGCUUCAAGGAAACUGAAAUAUUUUGGCACAAAGAAACUUCCUUUUCUUCCUCCACUCUUGUAUGCUUUUUCAUACUCCACACUUUCCACUAUUUAAUGUUCUACAUGUUCCAUGCUAUUAUCUUCCCAGGCUUCAUGCAAAGCUAGGUAAAUAUCUUCCUUUUGUACUCGCUUUUCAGACCUUUAUUCUUGAAAGCUGACUUAGCACUGCUGGGAUGGUUCUAAAAAUGAAACGCCUGCAUCUCUGUAAAACUUGCUAAUGUCUGAUUGAAGUCAGUCCACCGAGCAACACUGCAUAACAGAUUUGGCUAGUUUUUCCCUUUACCGUUGUUCAUUAAAAUAUCCCAGUGCAUAUUGUCUUGGUUUUGUAUGCACAUUCUCCAAGUCUCUACCUGGCUGAGGAUAGAGUAGAAAGAUAAAAAUCUAUUUCACUGAUGUUCUUAAUUUUUAAUCAAUAUUUUAAACAUUUUUCUAGUCUGACUCAUAGUUCUUCUAAUCACUGUUGUUCUAGAAAUUGCUUCCACCGGUGAAACUGAGGUGGCAUUCGUUAGGCAAGCGGUCACUGUGGUUAGAACCCUUAAACUAAAGCACUGUGAAUCUCUGUGUUUAAAAUAGUGAACCUCCUCUGUGUGGUCUUGCCUCUGCCUUUUGGACGGGAACAGGAUUUCAAGCCAGCUAUGGGGCUGAAUGUGAGGAGAUAGUCAACUCAUGUUUAAAAAGUACAGAUCACAGCAGAAAUGGUCUGUGCCACUUUGUACAUCAAGAAAUUUCAAAUAUAGCCAAAAGAGCCCAGGUACAGGAAGAAGGAAAAUGUUGCUGUCAUAGAGGAUUAAUGGCUUCCAAGCAGUAAGUUUCAGGGUUGUUUUUGUUGUUUUUCUUUAAAAAGCAAGCUACAGCUGAGGAGGCUCAAUAAUCUUGAUUUUUAUUAUAAAUCAGAACGACAUUUAAAAAUUAAUACAUUUAAUGUAACUUAAUUUAGAUAAAAUUGUCUUUUAGUAAGGGGCUGGUCUGUUUAUUAUUUCAUAUCAUGCUUCUUUCCCAGAGGCUUUCAUGGAAGCAUGUCAAGCCAUUAUAUAAAAUAAAAUUCAACAAACGUGUGUGUAUAUAUAAUUUACUAGAGCAGAAGUCUGUGCUUACAUGAGGGAAUUAAAUCAAUAGCCUCCAAAAAGAUGCUUCAGAGCAGAGUGCUGCUGUGCACAGCAGGACUCUGGGAGGCUGUUAGCUCUUUGUUGUUACGGCUCCAGCACCCUCCUUGGAUGGUGGGCAGCGGCUGGAAUCUCUGUACCUAGGAAAGCCAGCAACAGUUUAUAUCGCACUGCCUCUUAUCUUCCCUGGCUCUUGACCCUUCGGGUGUGGUUUGGCAGUAUUGCAUCAGACCAGCAAAGCUUUUGGCCCCUAGGUAGAUGUUUCAUACAGACACCUUAGAAAAAACUAUUUACCUGGGAAUAAUGUGCUACAUGAACAAGUAUGUAGCGUAAUCUGUAGUAUAUAUGGCAGAUCAGAUGUGGAUGACUGGACAGAAAGGUCUUAACAUCUCUUUAAAGUAAAUCUCAGCUCACAGUCAGUCAGUUGUAAAUUAGGAAGUGUCAGAAUCAAAGCUUCCCAUGUAUUUCUACAUGACUUGCAUUUGUAUGCAUCAUAAUAGUUUAUUUAAAGGUUUUGCAUAGGUAGCUUCUUCGUGUUACAAAAGGUACUGACUGAACAGCUACUUAAUAUUUAAUUUAUUCUUUGUUUUCAAUGUGUACCUCCAACCUUUCUGACUGCCUAACACACAAACCACCAAUAACCACAGUAUUUCUUUUUUUUUCUUUUGUUUUUUCCUAGUCAUGUAUGUUACACAUGAGUGUUUCACAGACAAUGGUGAAGUUAUCUACAUAAAGUCCCUUUGAGAAAGGAAGGUACAUUUAUUUUUCAAACAUAAACAUUGGCACCUACUGUCAUAAUUGUCAAAACUGAAAAUUAGCUAUAGGUGUGCAGACUGAACUUUAGGUGUCUCAUGCUAAGCAGCCAGAAGAUCGGGGAAAGAAGCCUAUUUUGGAAAAAUCUUACCUGGUCAGCAACAUAGAGGAACACUGGGGAAAAAAAGCCACCAAAAACCUGUUAGCUAAACUAACCAGAUUUGAAUAAGAUUUAGAAGCCUCCAAAGUUCUUAAACCUUUCAUUAUAGUUGGCAAUGGGAUGGAGAAGACAGGCCCAGACAAGUACCCUUGUGAGGACAAGGCUGGCACAGGUCCACAAUUGUAUAUUUGGCAGCUGCCUUGCCAGUGAGCACGUGCUUUGCUCUGAAGUACGCACCACAUGUCUUUUUUUUCCUGGGGAGGGAUAUGAGGUGGAGGAAAAGCUGGGGGCUGGGGACGGAGUUAGGAAAUAUGCCAAAGGAUGCCAGUCUGCUUGACACUACAGUACCGCACCAAUUCCUCUGCUUACAGAACAGCUUCGUUCUUUGUUCAGUCCAGAGCGCUGUUUUCCUUGCAUCUGCUUAUUCUGCCAUAAAUUAGGCAGGGAAUGUUGUGGCAGAUUGACCCUAGCAUUUUCCUUCCUUCUCAGUAGUGACUAUCUUGUAUACUUAAUCAGGUGAUUUCUCAGGGCGGGGGGGGGAGCAUCAUCUAAUGUAAGAUGCAUCGUGACACACAAACAUACACAGUAGCAGCAAGUUGAAGUACCACAGACAAUCUUAAUUCCAAUAUUUCUAACUGUUCUUUUGAAAUGGUGAAAUUUCCAAACUGUUCCACAGCUUGAAGAUGUUGUAUAAUUCUUUUAAAAAGGCAAAAUGUAGAAUUAUGGAAGAAGGAGAGAAUUUGAGAUAGGAAAUUAAAUUGACCUUUUAUAGUGCCUUGACUCUAAUUGUUGUUGUUAAUGCUACUGGUUAUUCCAUUAGCUGCAUGCACUAACUUCUUACCAUCAGUGCACAUGACACACUGUGGAGAAACUGAACCCACAUUCCAGUGGGUUUUGCAACUGUCUUUAUAUUUCAGAGAGACAUAGGCGUGAGGAUUCUGACUUCUGGUCUAUGUCAGAAAAACGAGGGCAGUGUAACUUGGUCAGAACAGACACAUAUGUAGGCCUAUUUGCUGCUUCUGUUGGAUUAGUGGGAUGCCUAAGGAAGAGUGCAGGGUGACCACAUAAUACUUUCAUGAUACAAUCCUUCAGCCUCCCAAUUUACGUAACUCAGAAAGCUCUUAUACCACGGGUUGUCAUUGGCUUAUAGUCUGUUUUUCUUCUAGUAAUUUCACUAACUGUAUGUUGAAUCUGUGUAGAUUUUAGCAAGCGAUCUGUGAUUAUGGGAUUAUAAACAAAGUAUUUUGGAGUUUAUCUAUUUUGUGAAGUACCUUUGAUUUCCCAGCCUGCAAAGUGCAGUAGGAGCAGAUCUGUAAAGCAAAACAGUUCAUGAUAAGGAUCCAUCACCCACAGAGUGCUCACUUGAGAUAUUUUAUUUCAGAGUAGCUCUAGUCUGGCUUCCUGUCAUGCAAGCAUGUGCGAGAGUUUAGAAUACAUUUUUAAAUUUAGUUUCAUCAAAAAUGAAUCCAGUUCUAUGCACUCUAAGGUCAGAUGUGAACCAAGGUUUAUAAACGGGGAUGUCUAAAAGUUUAAUUUGAAAAGCCCAUGUCUGAUACAGACUAAAACACUGAUGUCAGUACAUCAGCUGAAGUAGUUGAUUGCUGUCUUGAGUAGGAGGCCUUUUUCUGUCCUGCUGAGGAACUUCACCCAAUAACUCAGCAGAAGCAUAAUCCAGCAAAGGAAAGGAAUUUGAAUUUGCUGAAUGGGUAGUCCAGUGUGUACAGGGAAGGAUGUAAUAAAUGAGAUAAAAUUUCGCCACAGAAGACUGCAUGACAGAUGGCUGGCAUAAAAUUUGCAAUUAAAUGGUACAAGAUUUCCAAAUUUACAAGCAGGUAAGGUAGGAUGUUGUAAAGUAUUGGGUAAUUGUCAUGGUUGAAUAAUUUCUGGACAUUUCAUCUGUAAGUAAUUUUUAUAUACAAUGGAAGAACUGCAGAAAGUUCUGAAUUUCUUCAAAAUUAUUGUUUGUAAAAUGAGUUUGUCUCUUCAUAAAAUUUGUUAAGAAUGAGAACAAAUAUAUAAUUUCAGUUAUCAAGGAAAAAUAAUGUCCCAUUAAUGAAAAGUGUGUUUCAUUAAUGCAGAAGAAAAUGUAAUUUUUUAGAUGUACUCAAAAGUCUCUUUAUCUUGCGUAGUGAGAGAAAAAGUAAAAUGUAAAAAACUGAUCCCCUGAUCAUACCUUCACAGACUCAUCUUAACAGAUAUAGUGACUUUUGCACAUAUGAGAGUUUGCUUUGAGAUGCAUAUGAAAAAUGGUGUUGGUGGUGCAAGUCCUUAAUCUGGUCCAUCAGUUGUAACUCUUCAGUUUCAGUGUUUUACUACUUGUAUCUUUUGAAUCAUUUUUAUCAUCAUUAUUCAUAAGAUAUUCAUAACAUUGCCAUAUAACAGUACCAACUUGAUGCAUGUAUUAACUUUAAAUGUAAUGCAUUUCCCCAGACUUAUCUCCUUAAACGUUGUGAAUUUAAAAGUAUAACAUAGCAUGUUUAUUUUUAGUACACCUCCUGAUAAUCUUUCAAUUCAAGAAUUUCAGAAGAAUGAGAGUAUUGAUGUUGAGGUGGUGCAGCUUAUCAGCACAGAGAUACUGCCAUAUGCUAAUUUUAUUCCUAAGGAAUUUGUUGGUCAAAUAAUGACGAUGCUUAAU